AACGCGAAGAACCUUACCUGGGUUUGACAUGGACUGGAAAGCCGUAGAGAUACGGCCCCCCUUGUGGUUGGUUCACAGGUGGUGCAUGGCUGUCGUCAGCUCGUGUCGUGAGAUGUUGGGUUAAGUCCCGCAACGAGCGCAACCCUUGUCCUGUGUUGCCAGCGCGUAAUGGCGGGGACUCUCAGGAAACUGCCGGGGUCAACUCGGAGGAAGGUGGGGACGACGUCAAGUCAUCAUGCCCCUUAUGUCCAGGGCUUCACACAUGCUACAAUGGCGCGUACAGAGGGCAGCGAUAUCGCAAGGUGGAGCGAAUCCCUUAAAGCGCGUCUCAGUUCGGAUUGGGGUCUGCAACUCGACCCCAUGAAGUCGGAGUCGCUAGUAAUCGCAGAUCAGCAACGCUGCGGUGAAUACGUUCCCGGGCCUUGUACACACCG
rnacentral:rRNA from 1 species